rnacentral:rRNA from 1 species
UACGUAGGGUGCAAGCGUUAUCCGGAAUUAUUGGGCGUAAAGAGCUCGUAGGCGGUUUGUCGCGUCUGCUGUGAAAACCCGAGGCUCAACUUCGGGCUUGCAUUCGAUACGGGCAGGCUGGAGUUCGGUAGGGGAGACUGGAAUUCCUGGUGUAGCGGUGAAAUGCGCAGAUAUCAGGAGGAACACCGGUGGCGAAGGCAGGUCUCUGGGCAUUAACUGACGCUGGAGGAGCGAAAGCAUGGGAGCGAACAGG